GUCAUCUUGAGAAUUAAAACAAAACAAGUUCCUUGCUGAGAAGCUUCCCUUUGCCAACUCUCUUUUCUUUGUACACAACGUUCGCUAUUGUGUGUCGUUUGUUUUUGACGUUGUUUCUACACUGCAUGGAACUCCGGACUCGAUCUACCACUAGUUUCCAUUCGUCCAGAGCAAUGCCAUUGCUUCAUAAGCCCGCCUCCCAACCUAAGUGCUCCAAUUUUCCCGAUGGAUGAUCCGGUUGAUAGCCUCAAGAAUGGCUUAGAAAAUGAAUACUGCCCUCCGCUGGAUCCCGCACUUUUCGUGGCUAUAGCAAGCGAUUAUAACCUUCUCGACGACGGUAGCGUUCGGCAACUGCGCGACACUCUAGAUGCGCUGAAGGCUUCAGCUGAUGAGCAAGAAAAUGCUACAUUCGACCCUUCUGGCACAAGCGGCCGGGAUUUUGUAGCGGGGGAUCAUGACGAGUUCGCGUCAGAGGAAGAUGGAUCACAUCCAACAAAAAACUCUUUGACGUCGACUCUUACGACUAUCGAAUCUGAUUUCUCUACGUUCAGUUUGGAGGAGAACCUGGAGCCCACUCGUUCUGGUGAACCCUGGAGUGGAAACCAUACUGAUUCCCCCCUGUCCUCUACCCGUGUUUCGCAAAUUACAGGAUUGACUUUCGAGGGUAAGAGGACGUAUUUAAUGGAUAUGUUUCCGUCAAUUGACCAAUACACGAUUGUCCAUACUUUGAGAAAAUGCGGCGAGGAUAUUGACCGCUCGAUGGAUGUUUUGCUCAACCUGGCGUUUUUUGAAGACCAAAGCGCUGAUGAUCAGGAAGACAAAGUGUCAAUACCGAAGGGAGUAGAUGGGUUCGAAGGCGAUAUCCACUCAAGAGAACGUAAGUGGGCGAAAAGUAAGCGGUCUGUAAAAAGGCAAGGAUCGCUUCCUCAGUCGAUUGCAUCAUCUGCAGUAACACAACAUGAAAUCAAUAAGGUGGAAAAUGUAUGGGA
rnacentral:sRNA from 2 species